AUGGCUCUGAGGCAGAGCACGCGGUUCCGCGCGGCCACCGCGUUCCUCGGCGUGCUCUCCUUCGUCCUCGCCGUCGUCGCCGAGCUCAAGAACCCGCCGUACGGGACGCCAAUCAGAGGCGCGGACGUGAUCGUCUGCCGGUUCCCGCCGGACGCGACGGUGGCGGCGCUGGGGGCCCUCUCCGCGCUCGUCGCCGCGUGCUGCGCCGGGAUCGGCGCCGUCUCCGUCUUCUUCCCCUACGACGGCAGGUCCAUCCCCAGGAAGGCCCUCUUCGACUACACCAUGCUCCACGUCUUCUUCCAUCUCGCCAUCGGCGUUACGGUGGCCGGGAUAGGCAUGACGACGUGGGCGACGGCGACGGAGGCCCACGUCCGGAACGUGCACCGCGACCUCGGGUACGCGUGCCCGACGGCCGAGACCGGGCUGCUCGGCGCCGCCGCGUUCCUCAACCUCUGA
rnacentral:rRNA from 1 species